rnacentral:rRNA from 1 species
GACAGAGGUGGCGAGCGUUGUUCGGAAUUACUGGGCGUAAAGGGUGUGUAGGUGGUUAGAUAAGUCAGUGGUGAAAUCCUACGGCUUAACCGUAGAACUGCCUUUGAAACUGUCUGACUAGAGUGCAGGAGAGGAGGGUGGAAUUCCCGGUGUAGAGGUGAAAUUCGUAGAUAUCGGGAGGAACACCAGUGGCGAAGGCGGCCCUCUGGACUGUAACUGACACUGAGACACGAAAGCGUGGGGAGCAAACAGG